rnacentral:tRNA from 1 species
GCGCCCUUCGUCUAUCGGUUAGGACGACAGAUUUUCAUUCUGUAAAGAGGGGUUCG